rnacentral:lncRNA from 1 species
CAUAUAGUAAACAAUUACCAUACUAUAUAAGAGAGAUUGAGAAAAUUUUUUCUACAAAUCAAGAGAGUUACUACAUCAUAAAAGUUGACACUAUCCACCUCAUACAUAGAAUUGCUACCCCUCUACAUAGCAAACAAUUAUUACCAUUUUAUGUUGUCAUCAUACAUAUUCAUGUCUUUUAUGUUGUCAUCAUACUUUAUGUGUUGCGAUAGCAAUCGAUCACUCCAUUUGCACGCCUCAGAAAGCUACACGAAACAUGAACUGAUAUGUGCUUAAAUUAAAAGAGUAACAUCAUCCGUUGAUUAUCAAAAGAAAAAAGGACACAAAAUGAAAAUACAAACCUUUGAUUAUUAUAUAUUCUCCUUCUACAAUACACACAUCUCUCAAAUUGAAAGUUCACACAGUCAUAUCUACCGAGGAAUUGUUCAUAAGGCACAUAUAUAUAGUCAAUUAAUGCCACGUUUUAAUUUUUUUUGUGGGAAUUGAAAGGCUAAGAAGAUCUUUUGAUAGGUUCGAAAAUAGUAAAUGGUUGCUAAUAUUAAAAGAGUGCACCGUUUCAAAAAAU